GAUGAACGCUGGCGGCGUGCCUAAUACAUGCAAGUCGAGCGAACGGACGAGAAGCUUGCUUCUCUGAUGUUAGCGGCGGACGGGUGAGUAACACGUGGAUAACCUACCUAUAAGACUGGGAUAACUUCGGGAAACCGGAGCUAAUACCGGAUAAUAUUUUGAACCGCAUGGUUCAAAAGUGAAAGACGGUCCUGCUGUCACUUAUAGAUGGAUCCGCCCUGCAUUAGCUAGUUGGUAAGGUAACGGCUUACCAAGGCAACGAUGCAUAGCCGACCUGAGAGGGUGAUCGGCCACACUGGAACUGAGACACGGUCCAGACUCCUACGGGAGGCAGCAGUAGGGAAUCUUCCGCAAUGGGCGAAAGCCUGACGGAGCAACGCCGCGUGAGUGAUGAAGGUCUUCGGAUCGUAAAACUCUGUUAUUAGGGAAGAACAUAUGUGUAAGUAACUGUGCACAUCUUGACGGUACCUAAUCAGAAAGCCACGGCUAACUACGUG
rnacentral:rRNA from 1 species